rnacentral:rRNA from 1 species
UUACGGUCAAAUCACGCUGAAAACACCGGUUCUCGUUCGAUCACCGAAAUUAAGCAUCGUAGAGCCAGGUCAGUACUUAGAUGGGGGACCGCUUGGGAACACCUGGUACUGUAAG